rnacentral:rRNA from 1 species
GAUGAACGCUGGCGGCGUGCUUAACACAUGCAAGUCGAACGGAAAGGCCCCUUUGGGGGUACUCGAGUGGCGAACGGGUGAGUAACACGUGAGUAACCUGCCCUUGACUUCGGGAUAACUUCAGGAAACUGGGGCUAAUACCGGAUAGGAAUCCUUGCUGCAUGGGGGGGGUUGGAAAGCUUCGGCGGUUUUGGAUGGACUCGCGGCUUAUCAGCUUGUUGGUGGGGUAGUGGCUUACCAAGGCUUUGACGGGUAGCCGGCCUGAGAGGGCGACCGGCCACAUUGGGACUGAGAUACGGCCCAGACUCCUACGGGAGGCAGCAGUGGGGAAUAUUGCACAAUGGGCGGAAGCCUGAUGCAGCAACGCCGCGUGCGGGAUGACGGCCUUCGGGUUGUAAACCGCUUUCAGCAGGGGCGAAGCUUGUGGUGACGGUACCUGCAGAAGAAGCGCCGGCUAACUACGUG